GGUGUCACAUGGCGCAGCUGACAGCGCCCCUGGGGCCGGAGUGCACGAGGCUGCGUCUGGGGAAGAAGCCUGCGGGCGGCGGGACGGGAGAGGCCGCGAGAGGCUCCCGGACUCACCCCAGGAGGGGCGAGAGUCAGCACGGCGCCCCCCAGGCCCCCUCCGUCUGGCUGCCCCAGGCUCCCAGAAGAGCAGGGGGUCCCGCACCCAGGGCCGAAGCGACAGGCAGACAAGACGCACACACGUCUCGACUCCGGCGACUGGAAACCCUCAGGUGUACUUCACAGGCCGAGAGCGCGUCACGUGGCCACUCAGGCAGUCUGGAAAUGAGUCUAACCUGUGCUCAACAAGAAGUGCUGGCAGGGGGAAAGACACUGACCCCAAGAAGUAGGGAAAAAGACAUGGUGAAAAAUCAAGAGAUGUGUUAACCAAGACGUGCCUGAAAAAGUAGGAGAAGGUGGUUUACAUUAUUUGCGUAACGCCAGUGACGUGUCUGCGAUCCCAGCAGAGCUUCACUGUGAACACAGCAGAGACAGACGCAGAGACGCAGUCACGGAUAAACCUCAGCCGCAUCGCCUGGAACUCGGAGCUGUUGCCUGGUAAUAAUCCUUAAACACAAGUACAUUUCGACUCCUUCACUAUGUUCCCAGAGUAGCUAUGCUGGAAGUUUGCACGUGGGGAUAAACCUCCUGACAAUCAUUCACUCCCCUUUCCUUCUUUGUGUUACCCACUGGGGCACUCUGGUUUAUUUUUUUAAUUAUGUGUGAAGGUAGGUUAUAUUUAUUAUCUAUAACUUUCAGAAAUGCUACAGAUUAUUUGUUAUAAAUUAGGAGACAUUAUGUUUGCUAGGCUUAAGAAUCAGGGCUUUACCAGUUUCAAAUCCUUUCUCACCUCAGGACCUUUGCACGUGCUAUUGCUAUCUCUGCCUGGAAUACCGGCUUCUGACUUUUUUUCUUAUUGUUAUGGCAAACCCUAAAUUUUCAGAUCUUGGCUAAAAUAUCACUGAUUCAAUAGACCAAGUCAGAGUCCCCUCUUCCAUGCUAUAAGUAAGUAAGUAAGUGAAGUCGCUCAGUCGUGUCUGACUCUUUGCGACCCCAUGGACAGUAGCCUACCAGGCUUCCC